rnacentral:rRNA from 1 species
GAAAGUAAGCAAGGGCAGACGGUGGAUGCCUUGGCUCUCGGAGGCGACGAAGGACGUGAUAAGCUGCGAAAAGCCCGGGGGAGGCGCAAAUAGCCGUUGAUCCCGGGAUAUCCGAAUGGGGCAACCCGGCAGGCUGAAGGCCUGUCAUCCCGAAAGGGAGGCGAACGUGGGGAACUGAAACAUCUAAGUACCCAUAGGAGGAGAAAAUAAACAAUGAUUCCGUAAGUAGUGGCGAGCGAACACGGAAGAGCCCAAACCCAUGUCGUCUAGGCGACACGGGGGUUGUAGGACCACGACGUGGCAAGAAGGAAGGGAAAUGGAACGCCUUGGAAAAGUCGGCCAUAGACGGUGAAAGCCCGGUACAUGACUCCCUUACGAAGCCUAGUGGUAUCCUGAGUAGCGCGGGGCACGAGAAAUCUUGCGUGAAGCAGCGGGGCCCAUCCCGUAAGGCUAAAUACUCCCGAGAGACCGAUAGCGAACCAGUACCGUGAGGGAAAGGUGAAAAGAACCCCGAGCAGGGGAGUGAAAUAGACCCUGAACCCGUCUGCCUACAAGCGGUCGGAGCGUCGUAAUGACGUGACGGCGUGCCUUUUGCAUAAUGAACCUACGAGUUACCUUCCCCGGCAAGGUUAAGUACCUAAGGUACGGAGCCGAAGCGAAAGCGAGUCUGAACAGGGCGCCAAGUCGGGGGGGGUAGACGCGAAACCGAGUGAUCUACCCUUGGCCAGGUUGAAGGUUGGGUAACACCAACUGGAGGACCGGAUGGGUAAGCGUUGAAAAGCUUUCCAAUGAGCUGAGGGUAGGGGUGAAAGGCUAAUCAAACUCGGAGAUAGCUCGUACUCCCCGAAAUGCAUUUAGGUGCAGCCUCUUUAUAGUAUAUCGUGAGGUAGAGCGACUGAUUGGAUGCGAGGGCUUCACCGCCUAUCAAGUCCAGAUAAACUCCGAAUGCGCGAUAUAUAUUUACAGGGAGUGAGGGCGCGGGUGCUAAGGUCCGUGUCCGAGAGGAGAAGAAUCCAGACCACCGGCUAAGGCCCCCAAAUGAUCGUUAAGUUGAACUAACGAGGUCGGAUCGCAGAGACAGCUAGGAUGUUGGCUUGGAAGCAGCCAUUCAUUUAAAGAGUGCGUAACAGCUCACUAGUCGAGCGAUCUGGCGUGGAUAAUAAUCGGGCAUAAACGAUCUGCCGAAGCCGUGGAUGUCGCAAGACAUGGUAGGGGAGCAUUCCAUGCCGCGUCGAAGAUGAGGGAUGACCCUUGUUGGAGCGCAUGGAAAAGCAAAUGUAGGUAUGAGUAACGAUAAGGGGGGCGAGAAACCCCCCCGCCGAAAGACCAAGGUUUCCUGAUCAACGCUAAUCGGAUCAGGGUGAGUCGGGACCUAAGGCAAAGCCGAACGGCGCCGCCGAUGGAAGAAUGGGUUAAUAUUCCCAUACUGCCUCAUGGAGUGACGUGGAGACGGAGAAGUGACAGUCCUGCCGGCUGACGGAAUAGCCGGUUGAAGGGUGUAGAUAUUGAUUCCCGUAGGCAAAUCCGCGGGGAGAGUCGAACCUGAGAGUAUACGGAGCGCUUGCGCAACGUAAUAUGGACGUAACCAUGCUCCCGAGAAAAUCCGCUAAACUUAUCCAUGCGGCACCCGUACCGUAAACGGACACACGUGGUCGGGUUGAGAAUACUGAGGCGCUCGAGUGAUUCACGGUUAAGGAACUAGGCAAAUUGACCCUGUAACUUCGGGAUAAAGGGUCCUCGUCGUAAGGCGAGGCGCAGAGAAUAGGUCCAGGCAACUGUUUAACAAAAACACAUGGCUGUGCUAAAUGGAAACAUGAUGUAUACAGCCUGACACCUGCCCGGUGCCGGAAGGUUAAGAGGAGAUGUCAUCCGCGAGGAGAAGCGUUGAAUUGAAGCCCCGGUAAACGGCGGCCGUAACUAUAACGGUCCUAAGGUAGCGAAAUUCCUUGUCGGGUAAGUUCCGACCUGCACGAAUGGUGUAAUGAUCUGGACACUGUCUCAACCGUGAGCUCGGUGAAAUUGUAGUAUCGGUGAAGAUGCCGAUUACCCGCGAUGGGACGAAAAGACCCCGUGAACCUUU